rnacentral:rRNA from 1 species
UGAAGAUGUAAAUGGUCUGGCCUGCUCACUGAUAAAAUCAUUUAAGAGCCGCGGUAUAUUGACCGUGCAAAGGUAGCAUAAUCAUUAGGGGUUUAAUUGGAACCUGGAAUGAAGGGUCGGACAAAGGAGUGACUGUCUAUAAGGUUUAACUUGAAGUUUACUUUUAAGUGAAAAGGCUUAAAUAAGUCAAAGGGACGAUAAGACCCUAUAAAGCUUUAUAAAUAAUUUAAAUCUGACUAAUUUAAGUAUAAAUGUUAAAUUUGAUUAUUUUAUUUUGUUGGGGUGAUGUGAGUAUAAUUCUAGCUAACUGCUUAAAAAAAAAUUCUCUUAUAAGAGACUAGUCUAGGUAAAUGAUCCUUUUUAAAGAUUAAAAGACUAAGUUACUUUAGGGAUAACAGCGUUAUUUCUUUUGAGAGUUCAUAUUGAAAAAGAAGAUUGCGACCUCGAUGUUGAAUUAAAAUAUCUAUAUAGUGCAGCCGCUAUAAAAGAGGGUCUGUUCGACCUUUAAAUU